GCGUGUCUCAUUUAAAAGUCACAGCACCUCGAACAAUUCUUCAAAUGUAUCCGUGGUUAUGUCUGCGUCUGUGUGUGUGACUCUGAUAAAUGUGAAUAUAAGUGAUGGCGUGAAUGUGUGUAAAGUUAGAAGGCGACAUUAGGAAGCAGACAGGGUGAAAUUGGCGUUCGGCACAAAGCUGGUCAGCCUCUUGAAGGGCCAUUAAAGCGACACGGAAGAAAUUGCAGGGACUCACUGGAAUGAAUCGUCGCUUUCUGGCUCUGAGUGCUGCUGCUAUUUGUUUUUUUUCUGUCUGGAGUUUGGAGUUGAUAUUGUUAUUUAUUUGUAGAGCAACUUUCAUGACCAUCUGGAGCUUGAAAAUUAUUCAAAGACGCUUGGCAUCAUGCAAGAACUUCUCGAAGGAACACAUCUGUUGAGGAGCGUAACAGGUUUAGAGGCGGCGACACGAGAGCUGCAAGGGAGGACAUGAUAAAGCAAUGUCAUUCCACUACAAGGAAUACUGUCCCUGCAGACUGCUGCAACCAUCACUCAUCACAAUAUGCUCGGCCUCCCAUGUGUUCUGUUUUCAUGUUUUCUGGGACACCACUUUCAUUUUACAACAUCUGUGAUUAAACUUUGUUUUUAAUGAAAAAAUCAAGACUACAGGACUUAUUUGAAAUGACUUA